CUGGUUUCAUAUCUUUGUCUCCCUGAUGUAAAAAGUUAUUACAAAAAGAAGGUUAAUUUUGGACAUGCAAUUCCCUUUUAUACCAGUAGGGGUAAAAUGGAAGGUUGUAAAAGAUGUCCACUGUCCCCCUCUAUUGAUUGACACUGGUUUUAUGUCUUUGUCUCCCUGACGUAAAAAGUUAUUACAAAAAGAAGGUUAAUUUUGGACAUGCAAUUGCCCUUUCUACCAGUAGGGGUAAAAUUGAAGGUUGUGAAAGAUGUCCAUUGUCCCCUUCUAUUGAUUGACACUGGUUUCAUGUCUCUAUCUUCCUGCUG